rnacentral:rRNA from 1 species
ACUCCUACGGGAGGCAGCAGUGGGAAUCUUAGACAAUGGGCGCAAGCCUGAUCUAGCCAUGCCGCGUGUGUGACGAAGGCCUUAGGGUCGUAAAGCACUUUCGCCGGGGAAGAUAAUGACGGUACCCGGUAAAGAAACCCGCCGUACAUCCGUGCCAGCAGCCGCGGUAAUACGGAGGGGGUUAGCGUUAUCCGGAAUCAUUGGGUUUAAAGGGUCCGUAGGUGGACGAUUAAGUCAGAGGUGAAAUCUUGCAGCUCAACUGUAAAAUUGCCUUUGAUACUGGUUGUCUUGAGUUAUUAUGAAGUGGUUAGAAUAUGUAGUGUAGCGGUGAAAUGCAUAGAUAUUACAUAGAAUACCAAUUGCGAAGGCAGAUCACUAAUAAUAUACUGACACUGAUGGACGAAAGCGUGGGUAGCGAACAGGAUUAGAUACCCUGGUAGGCUCUGC